AUUGAACGCUGGCGGCAUGCCUACACAUGCAAGUCGAACGGUAACAGGUCUUCGGAUGCUGACGAGUGGCGAACGGGUGAGUAAUACAUCGGAACGUGCACGAUCGUGGGGGAUAACGAAGCGAAAGCUUUGCUAAUACCGCAUACGAUCUACGGAUGAAAGCAGGGGACCGCAAGGCCUUGCGCGAACGGAGCGGCCGAUGGCAGAUAAGGUAGGUGGUGGGAUAAAAGCUUACCAAGCCGACGAUCUGUAGCUGGUCUGAGAGGACGACCAGCCACACUGGGACGGAGACACGGCCCAGACGCCUACGGGAGGCAGCAGUGGGGAAUUUUGGACAAUGGGCGAAAGCCUGAUCCAGCCAUGCCGCGUGCAGGAUGAAGGCGUUCGGGUUGUAAACUGCUUUUGUACGGAACGAAAAGACUCUGGUUAAUACCUGGGGUCCAUGACGGUACCGUAAGAAUAAGCACCGGCUAACUACGUGCCAGCCGCCGCGGUAAAAC
rnacentral:rRNA from 1 species